GUCCUCGUAGCUUAACAUCAAAGCAUGGCACUGAAGAUGCCAAGAUGGUUACUCCGACACCCGAAGACG
rnacentral:tRNA from 1 species